AAAAGUUAAUAAUGAGGUUGUACUAUGAAGUUAGUGUCUAACAAAUACCUUAACUUUCAAGUGAAAUUCUCUUAUUGCGAAACAUUAUCACUGUUUUUAAUGUUACUGCUCUUCAACACAAUACUUCUCCGCUUAUUUCAUGAUUUGUAUCGCCCCUCAUGCACCUGUUAUGGCACUUACGUUUUUGGUUUAUGUACCAAGUACCUAGAUUUCUUUUCGUUUAGACAUCACAGCAGCAGUUAAUCAAUGAAUUUCAAUCCAUCACCGCCCCCCCCCCCCUUUGUCCUCAGUUUGAACAGCUGCGCGGUUCACGUCACCGAAGUUGGCUCAAGUUUGAACUUCAUACAAGCUCGAUUGGAGAUUGUGUAUGUGUACUAAUUUAUGGUAGAUGCUUGGAUAAACUAUAACCAAUAGAAAUGGGAAGUGGAGGGAAAAACGUAAAGAAAAGAGGAGUGCUGAAAAGGAAAAGAUUAAAACGCUCAAAUCCCUUGACAGUUGCGGCCAAAGGUGCUAAAAUCAGAGACACGUUUUACUUAUGCAUUCCCGAUAGUUCAGCAGCAGGUCAACUGAGAAGUCAGGGGAAGCCAGAUUACGACCACGAUGUUACUGAGCUGACCUCAGAGAUUCCAGCCCGGUAACACAGAGACGAAGAACAAGAUGACGCAGAACCUUCACAAACUCUAAAAAAUUGUCCAAAACCGUUUGUGGAGGAUCCGUGUGUAGAGCAUCAGGAGUUCUCGUUUUUUGGAAACAAUCUUGUUGCAGAAAGUGUACGUCUGCGACACCUGCUGGCUGUUUGAGGAGCCAGCGUAAUAGCGGGGGCCAUUUUUGAAGAGGAAGAACAUCUCACAAUGGCAAGCAGACAACAAAACGAUGGCCAGCAUCAGGAACAGUGAACUCAUCUGCAUGGUGCCAACCCUGAUACCACCAAGAUGGCUGGAUAUUGGCCCACAGCUAGGUGCUAAAAGAGCCUGUGCAAUCCCCACAAUCCUUUUAAUCUUUCAUCAAUCAUGUCGGCAUACCACAAGGCCCCUGAUCCUAUUACCAUAAGGGGGAAAUUGCUAUUCCCACAAAUAGACAAGUUGGCAAUCUGUAGUGAAAGCUCACUGAAAAGAGGUGGCGGUAAAUGACAGGUUUGAUUGGGCAAUGGAGGAAUCCAAUCAUCCAUAGCCUGAAAAUAGAAUUUGAUAAAAUACAAGUAAACAACUGAAAUGUGUGCUCCUCUUAAAAAGUGCACAGAGAAACAGGACUGGCUGUUCGGUUUUCUUUUUGAAAAUGCGAGCGGUUAUCUUAAGGGAUCUCGGAAAAGGGAAUGGUCAGCCUAAUUUUGAAACAUAUUUUUAAACGGCUUCUCGGCUGAAUGUUCACCCGUCCCCGUGGCAAAAUUCAUAGCGGCCGUAAAGCCCUCCCCAAAGCUUUAGGCGCCAUUUAAAACAGGCCGGCCUCUUCCUCACCGGCCAUGUCGUGAAAAAGGAAAUGGCUCCAAUAAAACUUUGUGUUUUGUUGCAGUACAUGACCUGCUUUUAAGCUUUCUUCACAACUACUAGCGAGAAAAACAUUUUUUUUCUAACCGUUUUUUUCACCACCAUCUAUAAGCUGCUUGAAGGGGCUUAUUCAGUAAAUACAUUCAUAAGUACAUUUACAGAUACUAUGCUCUGUUUCUAAGUGACAAGGUAACCUUCUAAAAUAAUCAGGCUGUUAAUACAUGCUACUGUGUUGUCGUAAUUACUGGACAAACUGAUCAGUAUACAUCUGGAGUACAUUAAUAAAAUGAUUUCUGCUCUCACCCUGAUAAUAACAUACUGCUUUUUAUAUUCCACACCAGCCAAACCCGUUAGAUCGGUGUUUAUAGACUGGAAUAUCUGUUUCUAAAUUACUCCAAGGAGGAGCAUCAUCUAAGAGUGAUUAAUCACGAUUAAUUAAUCAGCCUCCCCACAGUUUCUGUGCUGUCAUAACAAAAUGCCAUGGCUCGAGGUUAGCUUUGAAGAACCACAAAGUGGGUAAUGAUGAAUUUAUAGCAAGUUCUCGCAUAAAUUCAUCACUUAAAAAAAUAAAAAUCAUCAACAAACUAAAAAUGUUGUUUUGGAACGUAUGUCAUUUCUUAGGAAUGUGAUGAAUGGGAUUUUUGUCCUUUCACUGCUGUUUGUCCUUCAGAUUUUCUUGCUUUCAUAAAUGGAUGAGACCAGAUAAUAUAAAAAUGUACAAAGCUUUACUCUGAUACCUUGAAUGAUUUCAGAUUGAAA